CCAAGUGGUUCAGGGAAGAGCACUGUGAUUUCUCUUGUGAUGAGAUUCUAUGACCCCACUUCUGGCUCAGUUCUGAUAGAUGAAUGCGACAUCAAAAGCCUAAACUUGAGAUCCUUAAGGCUGAGAAUAGGAUUGGUUCAGCAAGAACCUGCUUUGUUCUCUACCACAGUCUAUGAAAACAUCAAGUAUGGAAAAGAGGAGGCAUCAGAAAUCGAAGUGAUGAAGGCUGCCAGAGCAGCAAAUGCUCAUGAAUUCAUCAGUAGAAUGCCAGAAGGGUACAGAACUGAGGUUGGUGAGAGAGGAGUGCAGUUAUCAGGAGGACAGAAACAAAGGGUGGCAAUUGCUAGAGCAAUUCUGAAAGAUCCAUCCAUUCUUCUGUUGGAUGAAGCAACUAGUGCACUGGACACGGUGUCGGAGAGGCUGGUCCAAGAGGUUGCGGCCUGUCUUCCUCUUCUCAUAGGAGCUUCUAUCACAGAGGUUAAUCUCAUAAAACCACUCCUCUAAUGAUGAGCUCUUUUAUGCUGCCUGCUAGCAUUAUUCAUCUAUUCUUCACUGCAUAACCGUGAGAAAACCUAAUAACGCAGAAGCUAUUCUUCUUCCCAUAAUUGAUUUUUGGUUUAGAAUCAUUUGUAGAUUAGAUUUCCAAAAAAUGCAUUAAAUUCAAACCAUUUAUGCAGCAACUAUUUCUCAAGGGAUUUGGAGGAGAUUACAGCCGGGCUUACACCAGAGCAACUUCUUUGGCACGUGAAGCUAUUGCAAACAUACGUACCGUUGCUGCUUUUGGCGCAGAAGAUCGAAUCUCAAUCCAAUUUGCUUCUGAAUUGAACAAGCCUAACAAGCAAGCACUUCUAAGAGGCCACAUAUCAGGUUCUGGGUAUGGCGUAACCCAGCUGUUUGCCUUCUGCUCCUAUGCACUUGGCCUUUGGUAUGCCUCCAUUUUAAUCAAGAAGAAAGAGUCAAAUUUUGGAGACAUCAUGAAGUCCUUCAUGGUCUUGAUCAUCACUGCACUGUCAAUAGCAGAAACACUAGCUCUCACCCCAGACAUUGUGAAGGGGACACAAGCACUGGGAUCAGUUUUCAGCAUUCUGCGAAGGAGAACCGCCAUCAACCCCAACGACCCGGACGCGGAGAUGAUAACUGAAGUCAAAGGAGAAAUAAAUUUUAAAAAUGUGUGCUUCAAGUAUCCGAUGAGACCUGAUAUCACCAUAUUUCAGAACUUAAACCUAAGAGUCCCAGCAGGGAAGAGUCUAGCAGUAGUAGGCCCAAGUGGUUCAGGGAAGAGCACUGUGAUUUCUCUUGUGAUGAGAUUCUAUGACCCCACUUCUGGCUCAGUUCUGAUAGAUGAAUGCGACAUCAAAAGCCUAAACUUGAGAUCCUUAAGGCUGAGAAUAGGAUUGGUUCAGCAAGAACCUGCUUUGUUCUCUACCACAGUCUAUGAAAACAUCAAGUAUGGAAAAGAGGAGGCAUCAGAAAUCGAAGUGAUGAAGGCUGCCAGAGCAGCAAAUGCUCAUGAAUUCAUCAGUAGAAUGCCAGAAGGGUACAGAACUGAGGUUGGUGAG
rnacentral:lncRNA from 1 species